UUGAAAGCAUUUUCCCAGAGUUGACGCCAAGAGAGCUAUAUUCCAAAACUUGGACCCAUGCUGACUCAUUGCCUAACUGUACCAGUAUGUAUGGUUGUGCCACACAGCACGUUGAGGGAGACCAUCUCACGGGAAUCAAUUCCAUCUUUGCAAGGAGAGUGCAAGAUACAGCAAUACAGAGUUACGUCAAUGAGGCAUUUUAAAAAUCAUUUGUUCUUUGACAUUCUCUAAAACAAAACAAGAA